rnacentral:rRNA from 1 species
AUUGAACGCUGGCGGCAUGCCUUACACAUGCAAGUCGAACGGUAACGGGUCCUUCGGGAUGCCUUCGAGUGGCGAACGGGUGAGUAAUAUAUCGGAACGUGCCCAGUAGUGGGGGAUAACUGCUCGAAAGAGCAGCUAAUACCGCAUACGACCUGAGGGUGAAAGGGGGGGAUCGCAAGACCUCUCGCUAUUGGAGCGGCCGAUAUCAGAUUAGCUAGUUGGUGGGGUAAAGGCCUACCAAGGCAACGAUCUGUAGUUGGUCUGAGAGGACGACCAGCCACACUGGGACUGAGACACGGCCCAGACUCCUACGGGAGGCAGCAGUGGGGAAUUCUGGACAAUGGGCGCAAGCCUGAUCCAGCAAUGCCGCGUGCAGGAAGAAGGCCUUCGGGUUGUAAACUGCUUUUGUCAGGGAAGAAAUCUUCUGGGCUAAUACCCCGGGAGGAUGACGGUACCUGAAGAAUAAGCACCGGCUAACUACGUGCCAGCAGCCGCGGUAAUACGUAGGGUGCGAGCGUUAAUCGGAAUUACUGGGCGUAAAGCGUGCGCAGGCGGCUUUGCAAGACAGAUGUGAAAUCCCCGGGCUCAACCUGGGAACUGCAUUUGUGACUGCAAGGCUAGAGUACGGCAGAGGGGGAUGGAAUUCCGCGCGUAGCAGUGAAAUGCGUAGAUAUGCGGAGGAACACCAAUGGCGAAGGCAAUCCCCUGGGCCUGUACUGACGCUCAUGCACGAAAGCGUGGGGAGCAAACAGGAUUAGAUACCCUGGUAGUCCACGCCCUAAACGAUGUCAACUGGUUGUUGGACGGCUUGCUGUUCAGUAACGAAGCUAACGCGUGAAGUUGACCGCCUGGGGAGUACGGCCGCAAGGUUGAGACUCAAAGGAAUUGACGGGGACCCGCACAAGCGGUGGAUGAUGUGGUUUAAUUCGAUGCAACGCGAAAAACCUUACCUACCCUUGACAUGUCAAGAAUUCUGCAGAGAUGUGGAAGUGCUCGAAAGAGAACUUGAACACAGGUGCUGCAUGGCCGUCGUCAGCUCGUGUCGUGAGAUGUUGGGUUAAGUCCCGCAACGAGCGCAACCCUUGUCAUUAGUUGCUACGCAAGAGCACUCUAAUGAGACUGCCGGUGACAAACCGGAGGAAGGUGGGGAUGACGUCAGGUCCUCAUGGCCCUUAUGGGUAGGGCUACACACGUCAUACAAUGGCCGGUACAGAGGGCUGCCAACCCGCGAGGGGGAGCCAAUCCCAGAAAACCGGUCGUAGUCCGGAUCGUAGUCUGCAACUCGACUGCGUGAAGUCGGAAUCGCUAGUAAUCGCGGAUCAGCUUGCCGCGGUGAAUAAGUUCCCGGGUCU